rfam:Ictidomys tridecemlineatus contig042315, whole genome shotgun sequence.
GGGGUUGUGGCUCAGUGGUAGAGCACUCACCUAGCACGUGUGAGGCCCUGGGUUUGAUUCUCUCAGCACCA